UGUAGUUUGUGAUAAUAGCUAAACAGUAAGGUUGAUUUCGAUAUUUCUCAAAUUGAUUUGGUGAGCAAACAGAGAAACCUGGGGUGCGUUUCAGAGACGAUCGUUAAGGCGAUCGUUAGCUGAUUUUGGUAGUACGACCAAAAUUACCGAUCGGCACCGUUUCAGAGACGCAACGUGCACCUGCUUUAUCGUUAAUUUUGCUCGUAAACCUACGACCGGUAAGAGGCACUCGUUAACUUAACGAUCAAGAUGGCGGAUGAAGAUUUUCUCCAAAUCAAAGUAUACUUUUACUUUUUAUCAACAUUUGAUAGUUUAAUAUUGGGUGUAGCAUGUUCGCUUGUGUGCAAUUUUCAAACUAUGUCUAAAAAUAGCUGGAGACAGUACGAAAAUGUUCUACUUCCGCCGUUCUGUCAAAAAAGGAUUUUAACUGUAGAAGAUUCAUACCAUUUGAUGCCAAGUGUACAAUAAAAACUGAAAUGAAAAUUGACAACAGAAGUGUCAUGGUCUUGGUGGAAUAUGCUAUGCUCUUCAUUGACCUCUGUUUAAUAAUGGCUGGUGAUAGAAAACUAUCAGGAAUGCUUCAAGCUGGCAAUGGAGGGAAAUGUAGAAGACACUGAGAAAUCACAAGGUUUCAAACAGUUAGAAUAUGCUCACAGUCAGUCUUCAAGAUACUCACCUUAAUGGUUCCAGUUUAUACCUACAUACACUGGAGAUAUCAGACCAAGCAGAUAACUACAGAUAUAUUGACACAGAACAUGAAAUUAAUUGCAUAUCCCAACACAACAUAAGACUUUAAACUGUUAAAUAGGCAGUGAGGCAUUUGUGUGUAACGUUCAUUAUUUGAAAUGAAAAAGUUUGACUUUGCAUUUAAAAGCCAUUAGCAUUAGAUUUUCCAAAUAUAUAUAUAUAAUUAUGUUUAUACAGUUUCAACUGUGAUGUAUAUCCAGUUGUACAUGUUUCCUCUAAGGAUUUAAACACUUUUGAAUUAUAUAGGAAAAUUUAAAUGAUACAUUUAUUCAAACUUAUGAUAAUAUAUAAAACACACACUACCAUGGUUGAUCAUGUAAACCUUCAUACUAUAUUUUUAUAGAAAUUAAGUGAAUCUUUUGAUAUUUCUGAAUACAUUUAUUUUUACUUUGACUGGCUCAUGUAUAAACACAGAAUGCUACAUAAAGUGUAUACUCCAGUGUAUAUCAUAACAUGAUUGAAAUAGAUAAUAGAUAAUAUUUGCAUGAAACUCUGAACACUUAACCACUAUGGCAAUCUGCACCAGUUAAGAUACUUUUUUGUUGAAUAAUGUGUUUUGAUGAGACGAGCUUGUAAAAUAGCUGUAUUUCUGUCAUUUUGUGUAUUUGAAGCAUGUCUGCAAAUGUAGAUUUUAUCAUGUAUUUUGAAUGGAUCUGAAAUACUGUUUAUUUAACUGUUAAUACAACGAUUGACACAUUAAAGAUGGAUUUAUGAAUUGUCUUCAUACAAAAAAUCUUACCAGUCAAAAUUGUAUUUUCGAACUGUUUCCCAAUACAAUAAACUCUCAGUCACAGUUUUGAUGCAUAAACGUAUGAACUUUACUCGUUAUUUGAACUAAGGUCGGUUGUUGGUGAUUGGAAUCAGUCAUCAUCAUCAUCAUCAUCAACA